rnacentral:rRNA from 1 species
UUGGAGGGCAAGUCUGGUGCCAGCAGCCGCGGUAAUUCCAGCUCCAAUAGCGUAUAUUAAAGUUGUUGCAGUUAAAAAGCUCGUAGUUGAACUUCGGGGUCUACCCAUUGGUCAGGCUUAAUUGUCUGUACUGGUGAGAUGGAUCUCUACCUUCUGAGGAACUUUCAUGCCAUUUAUUUGGUGUGAUGGGAAAUCAGGACUGUUACUUUGAAAAAAUUAGAGUGUUUAAAGCAGACUAUCGUCUGAAUACAUUAGCAUGGAAUAAUGAAAUAGGACGGACUGAUUCUAUUUCGUUGGUUUCUAGGAUCACCGUAAUGAUUAAUAGGGAUAGUUGGGGGCAUUAGUAUUCAAUUGUCAGAGGUGAAAUUCUUGGAUUUACUGAAGACUAACUACUGCGAAAGCAUUUGCCAAGGAUGUUUUCAUUAAUCAAGAACGAAAGUUAGGGGAUCGAAGACGAUCAGAUACCGUCGUAGUCUUAACCAUAAACUAUGCCGACUAGGGAUCGGACGAAGUUAAUUUUAUAAUGACGCGUUCGGCGCCUUACGGGAAAC